GCAUUUGCCAAUGUCUUUUGAUCUCUUUAUUUUAAGCAUGUAUGCAUGUGUAAAUCGGAAAACAUUUCAUAUGCUUUCUCACAGCUCUGAAUUAGUAAAUCAUACAUGACAUACAUUAUAUUUUAUAUUUAUAUUUCUUGGCUGUCUUACUGUGUGUGCGUUUCCUCGCAUGUUCAUUUGGUGGCGCUGUGGCUCCUGUUUGGCCGCAUUGAUUGAAAGACUGGAAAUGGAGAGAAACGCAGAACUUAAUCCAUUGGCAUCAGAUCCUGGCAAGAAACUCAGUGGAAAACGAAAAACACUCCAUGAUAUAUGUAGCAGGUAAAAUUCUUAAAGGACAUUCAGAAGCAAUAUACUGUUUAACAUUCCUGCCAGCCCACCAAAAAUAAGGAAGAUUCCAGGACACUUUAAAUGGGAAAUGGAUUGGAGCGAGAGAGAGAGAGAGAGAGGAAAGACAGGAUAGAGAGAGACAACUGGACCUGCUGUAUCUGAUGAGUUGAUCUGUCAUGAAGCAUUGGGCUUGGCUGGAGAAGUGGAGUUUCACUGGACCUCUGUGGCUCCAUCUGCUGAAAUAUUCAUCUUUAGUAGUAAUUGAGAGGCAGAAAGGGAGAACAAAACAAGAGGAAGAAAUCUGAAGUACUGAAUCCUCUUGCAGCAAUUCGGUUUCUCACAAGAAUGCCACAGUAUUUUUAUUUAUUUAUUUAUUUAUAUAGUAUAGGACACGCAUCAUUAGACAACUGCCUGCUUGUUCCCUGUACAAAAUCCAACAUUUAAUUUGUCACACAUGGCUAUUUUAAAGGUUGAUUGAACCAUCUAAUGUAGAAAAAUUUGAGAUUCCAAACGAUUCAUAAUUUUACAUAGUGACAA